GUGGAACUUACUAGUGGCUCAUCUGGAUGCAUUCAGAACGGAAUGACUGCUGGUAUAUAGAUGAUUUUUACGUGAACUACAUUUAGAAGCCUUACAUGCAUUUACCUGUGAAGGUAUAAUUGCUGGAGCAUUUGAGCUGUAUACCAGCUGAGUGGAUAGAUGUUGUCAGGACAUUUCACCUAAGUGAUGUUUUAUAUCUCCACUGAUGUUACUAUGUAUAUACCUUUAAAAGUUAUUUGAAUGUUAACCGAACCUGCCUAUCUUGAGAAAGACCCAGUUAUGGGGUCGAAACGUCGAUCAAGGGCGAGUUGGUGCAACUGAAUAU